UACGGAGGGGGCUAGCGUUGUUCGGAAUUACUGGGCGUAAAGCGCACGUAGGUGGCUUUGUAAGUUCGAGGUGAAAGCCCGGGGCUCAACUCCGGAAUUGCCUUUAAGACUGCAACGCUAGAACGUCGGAGAGGUAAGUGGAAUUCCGAGUGUAGAGGUGAAAUUCGUAGAUAUUCGGAAGAACACCAGUGGCGAAGGCGACUUACUGGACGACUGUUGACACUGAGGUGCGAAAGCGUGUGGAGCAAACAGG
rnacentral:rRNA from 1 species